AGCAGCGUCACCUUGUUGCCCUCUUCUGAUGGAAAGGCUGCUUCAUCCCUGUCUCAGUGACAUCUAGGAGAAACACCCCCACGUGCAGCUUCACACAGGACAGCUGUGGCUCCCCAGAGCCCCCUUUGCCCGCUGUGCUCUUUUCCGGGAGAGGCUGAGAGAGAGCGGUCUUAGACUUGGAAGAAGGUGAUCUCUCAGCAGUGAAGUUACUCUUACUUGAUUUCCCUCUCAUGCGCUUCGUUGUUUCACGAAUAACACCAAUUGUUUGACGCCCCAACUGGUCCCUCACUGGUAGGUGUGAGCCUAACCCUCUCCCUUUUAAGCAUGGGGACUUAGAGACACGUUCACAGUCACUCAGUGAAUUGGUGAUGCUGUUUUUCUUCUCGUUUCCCAUUCAGAUUCCAGUAUUUCCACUGUGAAGGAGUUUCUGGGAUGGCAGGCUGACUUUUUUUGAUUGAACCAAGUGGCAUUCCCAAAAUGGCAAGACCCAACAAGAGAGGAGAGCUUUCUUCAGGGAAUGAGGGACACCCAGGUGUGCAGGGCAAUGCUGCUCGGGAGCGGAGAGCUGCUUGCAGCAGAUGAUGGAGUUCCCUGGAGAUGGGAAGCCUCUCGGUUCUAUCCAUACAGCUGUCAGAGGAGCCCUUCAAGCCAGUCCUCAUGAGGCCUAUUCCUCUUGCCAGCACAAAGGCAGCCUGUUAACGUUGAGCAAAGCGGCAAGAACCCACUGUGCUUGGUGCUAUGCAUGAGGAAGAGUCUAUCCCCAUCCAAAGGGCUGCUGAUGUGGAGGCACAUUGUUAAAGGCAAGGAAAACAGCAUUCCACCACCUGAUGAAGAAUCAGCUUAGCUUGGGUGUUGAAGGCGGUGCCUUUAUUCCCUGCAGGUUGACGGGCCUGUCUGCCAGGAACCCAACUGUUUGUCUGGCAAAAACCAUGGUGCAGAUCCGAUUAGGAAUCCUCUUCCCAGGACCUGCCUUCCCCCUGCCUGCCACGGACCUGGUACCACAGCCCCUUGGCCAGGUUGUCCCACUGGAAGGUCUCUGGGGAGCUUUUGGUGCUGUGUAA
rnacentral:lncRNA from 1 species